AUUGAACGCUGGCGGCAGGCCUAACACAUGCAAGUCGAACGAGUGGCGGACGGGUGAGUAAUGUCUGGGAAACUGCCCGAUGGAGGGGGAUAACUCCUGGAAACGGUAGCUAAUACCGCAUACCAUUGGAUGUGACCAGAUGGGAUUAGCUAGUAGGUGGGGUAACGGCUCACCUAGGCGACGAUCCCUAGCUGGUCUGAGAGGAUGACCAGCCACACUGGAACUGAGACACGUUCCAGACUCCUACGGGGUGCAGCACUGGGGAAUAUUGCACAAUGGGGGCAAGCCUGACGCAGCCAUGCCGCGUGUAUGAAGAAGGCCUUCGGGUUGUAAGGUACUUUCAGCUAGGAGGCGUUACUCGCAGAAGAAGCACCGGCUAACUUCGUGCCAGCAGCCGCGGUAAUAC
rnacentral:rRNA from 1 species